CGGACGGGUGAGUAACGCGUGGGGAACCUGCCCUGUACAGGGGGAUAACACUUAGAAAUAGGUGCUAAUACCGCAUAAGCGCACAGUAUCGCAUGAUACAGUGUGAAAAACUCCGGUGGUACAGGAUGGACCCGCGUCUGAUCAGCUGGUUGGCGGGGUAACGGCCCACCAAGGCGACGAUCAGUAGCCGGCCUGAGAGGGUGAACGGCCACAUUGGGACUGAGACACGGCCCAAACUCCUACGGAAGGCAGCAG
rnacentral:rRNA from 1 species